GUUUUUCAAAGUGAAAUAUUAGUAUUGAUAAGCGACUUAGGAAAAAUUGAAUGGCCAGAAGAAUUUCCCAAUUUCUUUACAUUUAUACUAGAACAACUCCAAAGUAAAUCUUCUGAACUUUUGGGCUUAAAACUUCUGAAAACUUUUGUGGAAGAGGUCAUGUGCCCUCGAAAAGACAUAGUUAAUAGCCGCAGACUUGUGCUAUUGAAAACUUUGCUUCAUGCUCAGUACCCAAUUUGCUUCCAUAUUCUUUCUGAGAAGCUUACUACUGCACUUGCAGGAAAUAAAAAAAGUAACUACGAAAACUCCUUUGGGAGUCUUCCGGGCUCUCCGCAUUCUUCUCCUGAAGUUUCUGGAGUUUUUUCCGUUCCGAA